CUCUUUAUUUUGUUCAACCACACACGUCUCUCCACGCACCCACACCUCUCCUUCGUGAAAAACAUACUCUAUCGGUGAAGUUGGCGUUUCUGGUUUUAUUGUGAGAAUUAUCAAGCAGUAAGCAAGACAUCACCGAUGAAGUUAGAAAAAAGCAAAACUUAGAGGAAAUUGUGCAACACAUGCUUCUCUCCCUUGUGUUAGAGUAAAAUCAGCAAAACAGAGAUACACAAUUGUGCAUAUUUCCCAGAUUUGUUAGAGGAAACUUAGUAGGUAGAGAUACAGACGUCGCUCUAUUCCAGCUUAUAAAGAGGUAAUUUGGGUCUCUUUGUUUUGAUCCCAGAACAACAAAAUGAGGUUGUGACCUUGUUGUGAUUCAUAUUAUUCGGAUGCAAUCUUGAAGUUCUGUUCUCUUCAAGGUUUACAUGAAUCCAACAAAAAUUCAGAACUCUGGAAUGGCAUCUAUUGUCAAUCCUAAUAAGCAUGCAUACCUUUCACUUGGUGCCUUAGCAAUUAGGGGACGAGGGGAAAUGUUACAAGAGUAAGGGCUGAAAAAAGAAUUCCAAUUGACCAAAGUAUGAACAUUUAAUGCAUCAACAUUAUCAAAAUGAGCCCAUACAAAAUAAUAUUACUGUACCUCCUGGUUUUGAUCCAAUUAAGAAAAUGUUACCUGCUCUCCAGAAGUUCAAGUGAUGCAAGAUACUCAAACAAAUGAAAUAAGUGCACGUGAAUUUGAUAAGGCAAAAAGAGUGAGAGGAACGAACAUUUGUAAAAAUGUAGCAUGACUCAAAGCUGGAGAAAAGUUAAUAAGUAUCACUUUUUCCCAGAAUUGAGUUGUUGGAAAGCAUUAUGCCUUAGUUGCGAGACACUUGGGUAUUUUAGUUCAUGAUCGCAAUAUGUGCCUAUUGAGGGUACAUUCAUGGAGACAUUUAAGAAGAUAAACUAGAACACAUGUGGGAUGCUGCCACGGAUAAAUUUACCAAUGACAACACGAAUGAUAAAAAACAUGUUCUUCUACAUAUGAGAAGGUUGUGGAAGAGGAUCACUGCACAAAAAUAUGAAGUCUAAGCCAUUUUGCGAUGCUAUAAAAGAUGUGAUGAGGGUGGUAGACAAGAGUGAUUGGGAAUGGUUGGUUAAGGAAUAUUUCUUAAAUGAAAAGUUAAAGGAAACAAGCACAAGAAACUCCAUUAAUAGGUCUAAUUUGAGUAUGCCUCAUCGUACGGGUAGUAAGCCUAUCAAAGAGAUUGUUUAUGAAUUGGUUGAAAUCCAAGAAUUGGUUCAAUCUAACGUCUCUUACUAUAUUGAGGUAGUAGAAAAGUGUUUUGGACCUCAAUGUAAGAGUCAUGUAGUUGAAUUUGAUGGUGGGAUAACUGCUAAGGUGUUGAAAGGUGGGAACUCUUCAAAGGUUGUGCUAUUAGAUAAGUUUCAUGCACGUGAAAAGAGAAUGAAUCACUAAAAAGACUCAUGGAUGAGUUAGAGAAUAAAUGUGAACGCAUGGAUGAGCUACAGAGUAAAUAUGAAAAACUUGCAAGAGUAUUGCUUGGUCAUCCUUCAACACCACCAUCGUCAAGUGAUCAAUAGAUGGUGCCAUUUAACAGGUUGUUGAGGAAAUAGGUUGAAAAACAGUGGUUGUGAAGGCUGUGGUGGCGAUGAAUGUGGUAAUGGUUUGGAAUCUGUGAAAACUGCGGAAGUUAAAUGCAUAAAUAACAUUCCGAAGGAGGUUAAUUAUAAAAGCUAAUAAAGUCCUCAUCACUUUCAUGCAUUUUAUGUUUGUUGAAUCCUUUCAAGAUUAUUACACACUAAGCUCUUGAUGAACUCAUGUGUCCUGUUAUCACGAUUUCAAACGUUGCAAAUAUUUUUUGAUAUGUGUUCUAUUUUUAUUUUUUUUGGGUUUAAAUGUGGACCAAGUCCACAACAGAUAUGUGUUCUAUUAUUGUGAAUGUAAAAAGAAAAUAAAGUGUCAAGGAUAUGAAUAUAGUCAUCUGAUUGUGUUUAAUGUUGCUCUAGUGACUAGAAUAUGUGGUUGUCUGUAAAAUACUAUUUACAGAAUAAUACAAAGUAGUCCAUCUUUUCAAUGCUUGGUGUGCCUAAAAUUGACGCACAUAUGAAAAUUGCUCUGAAUCUGAAUUAUUUGCUAAUGUUCUUGUCUUGAACCAGCCAAUGUCAGAUCUCAAGUUUAUGAUGCACAAAUUAUUGUGGAUUGGUUACUUGGAUCCAGUAAAUACACUGCUUUGGAAGCUAAGCCUUAUAUUUUUUUCCUUUACAGUAUUUUUCUUUUCUUAUUUAGAUAGCAUCCUUCUUUUUUGUCCUUUUGAUCCUAAAUUGUGUUACAGUUAUACAAUAAUAUGUACUUCAAAAUGUAUUCUCCUAGCAUAUUGGCAUGCACAUUAUAGUUGCAACUUCGACUGUUUAUUCUUUGUUACUAAUUGACAUAAACUUCUUUUGUUUAAAGCUCAAGCAUUUGAAUAUGUCGUUCAAGAAAGUAAGGAGCAAGUUGAAGAUCAAGAGCGCUUUUACUUUGGUUAAGGGUGGUCUAAAGACAAUAUUUUAUUAUUUAUAUAUGUUGCAACUUUUUUCUUGUUAGGGGUUGAUAAAUAUAUGUUAGGCUACUUGAAUAUGAUAUAUCUUUCUUUAAUUAGAUUUUUGUAUUAACAAUGA